UCACGUUGAAACUAAAAUGUC
rnacentral:piRNA from 1 species